CUCGAGCGAUAGCACGUUCGAGCAGUCUCUUCCUUUUUACGGAAAAUAUGGUCGAUCGUGGUCACCCAACCUUGAUUUUGAUGGAUACUCUUGAUCACCGAGGCUCUACCACUGAUCACCAUUGGGAUGAUGAGGAUAACAGGUCUAGGAACAUCAACCCAUGACAUGGCUACCAGCAAAUGUACCUCGAAAUGGACCCAUUUCGGGCUACGAAGCCCCGAUGGUCAAAAACGAACCGUUCAUUUCUUGACCCUUUUUAUUUGCAACACAAAUUAUUUUCUGCAAGUGUCUGUGGAACACAUGGUUUGGGCGUGGAAGUGCAAACAAAUGGCAUUCAUGGCACUGCAUCACUCCCCAUUGGCUUGCUCGAUGGACCAUUUCCGCUCCAGUGGUUUGAUUGCCCCUACAGAGAGCCUGUACACGAAGGGCCAUUUUCGCCACCAUGCAUGGAUUGAAAGAUUUGAAAACUGUAAUCCGCUUAAAAUGUAAAUUCAAGCACAUUUAG